AAUAAGGGCGUACGGAGGAUGCCUUGACACUAAGAGGCGAUGAAGGAGGUGGCGUGACUGCCUUAAGCUUCGGGGAGCCGUCUAGCGGGCUUUGAUCCGGAGAUUUCCGAAUGGGGAAACCCAGCACAGUAAACCUGUGUUAUCUCGCGCAAGCGAGAUGCGUACCCGGUGAAGUGAAACAUCUCAGUAACCGGAGGAAAAGAAAUAGAAUAGAUCCCCUUAGUAGCGGCGAGCGAAAAGGGAACAGCCUAAACCUGUUGUUGGUUAGCAAUAAUUAAUGACGGGGGUUAUAGGGACAGUACAUUUUUUAAAUCAUGUAACAUGAAACAUGUAACAAUAAUAUGUUGCGUGUCGCGUGUUAUAUGAUUUGAUCCGAGUGUUAGCAGAACGGCCCUGGAACGGCCGACCAAAGAAGGUGAUAGUCCUGUAAGCGAAAACAAUCGGACUUUCGUAUUGUUACCUGAGUAGCCCGAGAUAAGAAUGUCUUGGGUGAAUUUGUCCAUACUACUGGAUAAGGCUAAAUACUCUUAGUGAUCGAUAGUGAACAAGUACCGUGAGGGAAAGGUGAAAAGCACCCCGGUGAGGGGAGUGAAAUAGUAACUGAAACCGUAUGCCUACAAAGAGCGGGAGCGUGCUUCGCACGCAGUUCAUAAAGUAAAUUCAAAACUUUAUAACUUUACAAACUUUAUAAACUUAUGACUUGCGCGCGGAGCGUGUGACCGUGUGCCUAUUGAAGAAUGACCCAACGAGUUUAUUUAAACUGCUAACUAUAAGUUCCUUUGGAACGAAUGGAUAGGGAAACCAAGUGUUAAAAGCGCGAAGUUUUGAUAAGACCCGAAGCCAGGCGAGCUAACCAUGCCCAGGGUGAAGCUCUUCGAAAGAAGAGUGGAGGCCCGAACUGGUUGAUAGCGCAAUAUCAUCGGAUGAGGUGUGGUUGGAAGUGAAAAGCUUAUCGAGCUUGGUAAUAGCUGGUUCUCCCCGAAAUGCCUUUGGGGGCAGCGUCGUAUAGUAAUAGAGGGGGUAGAGCACUGAAUGGUUCGCCGUGCCCUUAUGGGUAGGUUUACCAAACAAACUCCGAAUACCUCUGUGGAAUAUACGGCAGUGAGUACGCGAGGGCAAAGCUUCGUGUAGGCGAGGGCAAGAGCCCAGAUCACCGCUUAAGGUCCCAAAAUGCAAGCUAAGUGAGAAGGAAGUAUUUUGCCUUAGACAGGUAGGAGGUUGGCUUAGAAGCAGCCACCCUUUAAAGAGUGCGUAACAGCUCACUACUCGAACUCCGAUUUAUCGGGGAAGGCAAAGUGCGCCGAAAAUGUAACGGGGCUAAGCAUAGUACCGAAAUUGUGGAUUCGGUCGCCUUUGGCGACCGAGUGGUAGGGGAGCAUUCUCAACUGCUGUGAAGGUGAACUGUGAAGUUUGCUGGAGCGUUGAGAAGGGAGAAUGUUGGGAUGAGUAACCGCAAGUGAUGUGAAAACCAUCACCGCCGUAAGUCCAAGGUUUCCUCCGCGAUGGCAAUCAUCGGAGGGUUAGGCGUGCCUAAG
rnacentral:rRNA from 1 species